rnacentral:sRNA from 2 species
UAAUUCAAAUCGCUUAAUCCAUUAGGAACGGGGGACCCAUUUUUACGUGGAUCUUUGAUCCUCUUGGGGUGAAUCCUUUACCAGGAAGGGAUACUCUUUUGUCCCGAACCCGACAGCUAACUCCGUAAGCGUUAUGAGAGGAAGG